rnacentral:rRNA from 1 species
UGGGGAAUAUUGCACAAUGGGCGCAAGCCUGAUGCAGCCAUGCCGCGUGUGUGAAGAAGGCCUUCGGGUUGUAAAGCACUUUCAGCGGGGAGGAAGGCGUUAAGGUUAAUAACCUUGGCGAUUGACGUUACCCGCAGAAGAAGCACCGGCUAACUCCGUGCCAGCAGCCGCAGUAAUACGGAGGGUGCAAGCGUUAAUCGGAAUUACUGGGCGUAAAGCGCACGCAGGCGGUUUGUUAAGUCAGAUGUGAAAUCCCCGGGCUCAACCUGGGAACUGCAUCUGAUACUGGCAAGCUUGAGUCUCGUAGAGGGGGGUAGAAUUCCAGGUGUAGCGGUGAAAUGCGUAGAGAUCUGGAGGAAUACCGGUGGCGAAGGCGGCCCCCUGGACGAAGACUGACGCUCAGGUGCGAAAGCGUGGGGAGCAAACAGG